rfam:Neolentinus lepideus HHB14362 ss-1 unplaced genomic scaffold NEOLEscaffold_25, whole genome shotgun sequence.
GGCUUUGUGGUCUAGUGGUAAGAUACCUGCUUUGGGUUUUUCUGCAUGCAGGUGAUCCCGGGUUCGAACCCCGGCGGAGCCC